UUGUCCUUGUGUUAUUUGCUGAUUGAAACUUAAAAAUCAGUGAUUGUCAAAAAGGACGUACAUUAAAUCCAAUAUUUCGUUAUUGCUAAUAUGUCCAAACAUCAUUUUAGCAUUUCCAUAUAUUGGUAACACAU